rnacentral:misc_RNA from 1 species
GGUGGUUGAGGACGUGCCGGGCAAGGCGUACCAGACCAACACCUUCCGGCUGGAGGGGAUGAACGACGAGCGGCAGAUCCCGAGGCUCUCCGUGAUGGAGGACUUCGUGGAGACGAUGGGGAUCGAGAUGGCUGCGGGGCGGUCCUACUCGCGCGACCACGUCACGGACGAGCGUGGCGCGAUCAUGGUCAACGAGGCCUUCGUGCGCCAGUUCGGCUGGGGCACGCCGGAGCAGGCCGUCGGAAAGCGGAUCCAAACGCAGGACACCACCCUCACCGUCAUCGGCGUGGUGAAGGACUUCCACGCGGCGUCGCUCCACAACGCGAUCGGCCCCUUCGUGCUGGAGAAGCUGCACCGGGGCGGCAACAUACAGUUCUUCGGGCGCUACCUGGUCGU